UAGGUGAAGUGGUUUACCCAUGGAGCUGAAGCCAGUCGCAGAUACCAGCUGGCUGCAACUGUUUAUUAAAAACACAGCACUGUGCAAACACGAAAGUGGACGUAUACGGUGUGACGCCUGCCCGGUGCUGGAAGGUUAAUUGAUGGGGUUAUCCGUAAGGAGAAGCUCUUGAUCGAAGCCCCAGUAAACGGCGGCCGUAACUAUAACGGUCCUAAGGUAGCGAAAUUCCUUGUCGGGUAAGUUCCGACCUGCACGAAUGGCGUAAUGAUGGCCAGGCUGUCUCCACCCGAGACUCAGUGAAAUUGAACUCGCUGUGAAGAUGCAGUGUACCCGCGGCAAGACGGAAAGACCCCGUGAACCUUUACUAUAGCUUGACACUGAACAUUGAGCCUUGAUGUGUAGGAUAGGUGGGAGGCUUUGAAGUGUGGACGCCAGUCUGCAUGGAGCCAACCUUGAAAUACCACCCUUUAAUGUUUGAUGUUCUAACGUUGCCCC
rnacentral:rRNA from 1 species